AGAAGCACCGGCUAACUCCGUGCCAGCAGCCGCGGUAAUACGGAGGGUGCAAGCGUUAAUCGGAAUUACUGGGCGUAAAGCGCACGCAGGCGGUUUGUUAAGUCAGAUGUGAAAUCCCCGGGCUCAACCUGGGAACUGCAUCUGAUACUGGCAAGCUUGAGUCUCGUAGAGGGGGGUAGAAUUCCAGGUGUAGCGGUGAAAUGCGUAGAGAUCUGGAGGAAUACCGG
rnacentral:rRNA from 1 species